rnacentral:rRNA from 1 species
AUGGUAUUUGGCAAUAUUGGCUCUUGGGCUGCCCAAUUGAUCACUAAAGCUGGUGGCAAGGUGGUCUCCAUCAGAGAUGUCACAGGGGCUGUCAAGAACUCCAAUGGCAUUGACAUAGCCAAGCUGAAGAAGCACUCGGCAGAGAACCGCGGGAUCAAGGGCUUUGACGGAGGCGACGCCGUCGACCCGACCUCGCUGCUCACGGAAGAGUGUGACGUGCUCAUCCCGGCAGCUCUGGGAGGAGUCAUAAACAAGGACAAUGCUGAUGCCAUCAAAGCAAAGUACAUCAUCGAGGCUGUUAACCACCCAACAGACACCGAGGUCGACGAGAUUCUAGCAAAGAAGGGCGUGCUGAUCCUACCGGACAUCAUGGCCAACUCCGGCGGAGUGAUGGUGAGCUGCUUCGAGUGGGUGCAGAACAUCCAGGGGUUCAUGUGGGACGAGGAGAAGGUGAAUCGGGAGCUCAAGACAUACAUGACCCACGCCUCAAACAUAGUUCUGAAUAUUUAG